rnacentral:rRNA from 1 species
AUUGAACGCUAGCGGGAUGCUUUACACAUGCACGUCGAACGAGUGGCGGACGGGUGAGUAAUAUCUCGGAAAGUGCCCAAUAUAGGGGGAUAACUACUCGAAACAGUGGCUAAUACCGACUACCAUUGGAGCGGCCGAUAUCGGAUUAGCUAGUAGGUGGGGUAAAGGCUGACCAAGGCAACGAGCCGUAGCUGGUUUGAGAGGACGACCAGCCACACUGGGACUGAGACACGGCCCAGACUCCUACGGGAUGCAGCAGUGGGGAAUUUUGGACAAUGGGGGAAACCCUGAUCCAGCCCUCCCGCGUGUAUGAGAAGGCCUUCGGGUUGUAAAGUACUUUUGGCAGAGAAGCUUUCUCUGCCUCCUAAGCACCGGCUAACUACGUGCCAGCAGCCGCGGUAAUUC